rnacentral:rRNA from 1 species
GGGGGGGGGGGGGGGGGGGCUGGGCGCGGGCGGGGCGGGCGCUGGCGCGCGGCGUGCUGGGUGGGUGAGUGGCGAGCGGGUGAGUACCACGGGCGUAACCUGCCCUCGUCUUUGUGAUCACGCCCGGCCACGGGUGCUACUCCUGGAUAUUCACUGACUCUCGCCUGGGUGUUGUUGGCACGGUUUUUUCUUUUUGGUGAUGGGCUCGCGGCCUAUCUGCUUGUUGGUGGGGUGAUGGCCUACCAAGGCUUUGCUGGGUAGCCGGCCUUGGAGGGUGACCGGUCACAGUGGGACUGAGAUACGGCCCAGACUCCUACGGGAGGGAGCAGUGGGGAAUAGUGCACAAUGGGCGAAAGCCUGAUGCAGCGACGGCGCGUGAGGGAUGGAGGCCUUCGGGGUGUAAACCUCUUUCGCGCAUGGUCAAGCCGCAGCUUUGGGUUGUGGUGAGGGUAGUGGGUAAAGAAGCGCCGGCUAACUACGUG